rnacentral:rRNA from 1 species
GAUGAACGCUGGCGGCGUGCCUAAUACAUGCAAGUCGAGCGAACAGACGAGGAGCUUGCUCCUCUGACGUUAGCGGCGGACGGGUGAGUAACACGUGGAUAACCUACCUAUAAGACUGGGAUAACUUCGGGAAACCGGAGCUAAUACCGGAUAACAUGUUGAACCGCAUGGUUCAACAGUGAAAGACGGUCUUGCUGUCACUUAUAGAUGGAUCCGCGCCGCAUUAGCUAGUCGGUAAGGUAACGGCUUACCAAGGCAACGAUGCGUAGCCGACCUGAGAGGGUGAUCGGCCAUACUGGAACUGAGACACGGUCCAGACUCCUACGGGAGGCAGCAGUAGGGAAUCUUCCGCAAUGGGCGAAAGCCUGACGGAGCAACGCCGCGUGAGUGAAGAAGGUCUUCGGAUCGUAAAACUCUGUUAUUAGGGAAGAACAAAUGUGUAAGUAACUAUGCACGUCUUGACGGUACCUAAUCAGAAAGCCACGGCUAACUACGUG